UGGGUUGUGGCUCAGUGGUAGAGUGCUCGCCUAGCAUGUGCGAGGCCCUGGGUUCAAUCCUCAGCACCACAU
rnacentral:tRNA from 1 species